AAAGCCUGACGCAGCGACGCCGCGUGAGGGAUGAAGGUUUUCGGAUCGUAAACCUCUGUCAGAAGGGAAGAAACCGCACCGUGCUAAUCAGCGGUGCCUUGACGGUACCUUCAAAGGAAGCACCGGCUAACUCCGUGCCAGCAGCCGCGGUAAUACGAAGGGGGCUAGCGUUGUUCGGAAUUACUGGGCGUAAAGCGCACGUAGGCGGACUUUUAAGUCAGGUGUGAAAUCCCGGGGCUCAACCUCGGAACUGCAUUUGAAACUGGAAGUCUUGAGAUCAGGAGAGGUUAGCGGAAUACCGAGUGUAGAGGUGAAAUUCGUAGAUAUUCGGUGGAACACCAGUGGCGAAGGCGGCUAACUGGACUGAUACUGACGCUGAGGUGCGAAAGUGUGGGGAGCAAACA
rnacentral:rRNA from 1 species